AGUUCGGAUUGUAGGCUGAAACUCGCCUACAUGAAGCUGGAGUUACUAGUAAUCGCAGAUCAGAAUGCUGCGGUGAAUGCGUUCCCGGGUCUUGUACACACCGCCCGUCACACCACGGGAGUUGGAGACGCCCGAAGCCGAUUAUCUAACCUUUUGGAAGAAGUCGGCGAAGGUGGAAUCAAUAACUGGGGUGAAGUCGUAACAAGGUAGCCGUAUCGGAAGGUGCGGCUGGAUCACCUCCUUUCUAAGGAGA
rnacentral:rRNA from 1 species